AUGACUUCCAGAAGGCAGCACUGGGAAUUUCAUGUGUUUCUGCCUGCACGUUGGGACAGGCAGUACAAGUAUUUUCAAGGUACUGUGGAAACAAAGUCAGACUGGAAACCGGGUCAUAAGAUGGAUACUGCCUGGAGGCCUAGAGGGAAGUGUGACCUUCCUUUUCUUGUGGGUAUGCAAGAUGUACAGGGCAAAACCCUGAAGCCUUGCCUCCAGGAGCUCCAGUCCACCGGGAAAUCAGAGACAAAGCACACCGUGGAGACUUUCUGGAAGCAAGUUCUCCGACAGUCUUUACAAAGGAGCCUUUUGGAGUAUGCAUCUCUGAGGCAGGUGCCCGUUUUUCAAAGGAGAAGUCAACUUUCGAGCCUACUGUGUUACCUCGUCUGCUUCCUGGGACCUCGCAGGACCAUCACGGGCUGCCCAGCCUUCCCUUCCUCCUGUGCCAGAGGCUGCAGUUUUAGCAGAAAAGAGCCAGUGCUGGCUCUGAAACGAUGGCCCUGA
rnacentral:lncRNA from 1 species